rnacentral:rRNA from 1 species
UCGAUUUGGGUGGCGGACGGGUGGGUAACGCGUAAAGAACUUGCCUCACAGCUAGGGACAACAUUUGGAAACGAAUGCUAAUACCUGAUAUUAUGAUUAUAGGGCAUCCUAGAAUUAUGAAAGCUAUAUGCGCUGUGAGAGAGCUUUGCGUCCCAUUAGCUAGUUGGAGAGGUAACGGCUCACCAAGGCGAUGAUGGGUAGCCGGCCUGAGAGGGUGAACGGCCACAAGGGGACUGAGACACGGCCCUUACUCCUACGGGAGGCAGCAGUGGGGAAUAUUGGACAAUGGACCGAGAGUCUGAUCCAGCAAUUCUGUGUGCACGAUGACGUUUUUCGGAAUGUAAAGUGCUUUCAGUUGGGAAGAAAAAAAUGACGGUACCAACAGAAGAAGUGACGGCUAGAUACGUGCCAGCAGCCGCGGUAAUACGUAUGUCACGAGCGUUAUCCGGAUUUAUUGGGCGUAAAGCGCGUCUAGGUGGUUAUGUAAGUCUGAUGUGAAAAUGCAGGGCUCAACUCUGUAUUGCGUUGGAAACUGUGUAACUAGAGUACUGGAGAGGUAAGCGGAACUACAAGUGUAGAGGUGAAAUUCGUAGAUAUUUGUAGGAAUGCCGAUGGGGAAGCCAGCUUACUGGACAGAUACUGACGCUGAAGCGCGAAAGCGUGGGUAGCAAACAGGAUUAGAUACCCUGGUAGUCCACGCCGUAAACGAUGAUUACUAGGUGUUGGGGGUCGAACCU